GACAUUGUAUUACACGAGCUAACAAUGGUAAAGUGUGAAUUCAAACAUUAAUGAAGAAAACCAUUCAGUAUUGUUAGACAUAUGUAACAUUUUUCAGACACAGUGACAUUGCAUCUGUCAAAAGAGUCUGCCUCUUUGCUAUAAAAGUAGUUCGAGUUUCUAGAAUCUUCAGUUCAUUCUUUGGAUUCACUCUUUCAUAUACAGACCAUGAAGUCCUGCGUCGCUGUUGUCUUGGCCGUCCUGUGCCUGACAGGAUCUGUCUUCUCUCAGACCAUCACCACAAACACCUUCCUCAACAACCUGAACAGCUUCAUCAGCAACAACCCAGCCCUGGCGCUGUCCUUCGUCGCUCCCUUUAUUGCCGCCAACAGCCUUGGACCCAACCCAAGCCGUGUCAUUAUUCCCCCACCCCCACCAUUCCUCGCCCCCUUCCCCAUCGCCCAGCCACCAGUCAUCGUCUACCACCACAACCGCAAACACUACUGAGAAAGAAUCACCAUCAUGUUAUUUAUUUCCAAUCAUCACCACUUUAAUUGACGCACAUCGUAAAGAAGAAGAAGAAUAAGCGGAAUGAGAGCAGGACAAGCGCCGCUCAGCACACACAUCGUCACAGAAUCAGAUCCAUUUGUCGCUCAUCACCAUUGUUUAUGUUGGCAAUAAACACAUUC